CAGUCGCCACGGUAAUACGAAGGUCCCGAGCGUUGUUCGGAAUCACUGGGCGUAAAGGGAGCGUAGGCGGCGUGGUAAGUCAGAUGUGAAAUCCCGGGGCUCAACCCCGGAACUGCAUCCGAUACUGCCAUGCUAGAGGAUUGGAGAGGUAGCUGGAAUUCUUGGUGUAGCAGUGAAAUGCGUGGAGAUCAAGAGGAACACUCGUGGCGAAAGCGAGCUACUGGACAAUAACUGACGCUGAGGCUCGAAGGCCAGGGUAGCGAAAGGGAUUAGAUACCCGAGUAGUCCCUGUCUCUUAUAC
rnacentral:rRNA from 1 species